GAUGAACGCUGGCGGCGUGCCUAAUACAUGCAAGUCGAGCGAACAGACGAGGAGCUUGUUCCUCUGAUGUUAGCGGCGGACGGGAGAGUAACACGUGGAUAACCUACCUAUAAGACGGGGAUAACUUCGGGAAACCGGAGCUAACACCGGAUAACAUGCUGAACCGCAGGGUUGAAUAGUGAAAGUCGGUCUUGCGGUCACUAAUAGAUGGAUCCGCGCCGCAUUAGCUAGUUGGUAAGGUUACGGCCUAUCAAGGCAACGAUGCGUAGCCGACGUGAGAGGGUGGUAGCCCGCACUAGAGGUUGGACGCGGUCCUGGCGCCUGCGAGAGGGAGCAGUAGGGAAUCGUCCGCAGUAGGCGAGAGCCUUGCGGAACGGCGCCGAGUGAGAGGAGGAAGUCUUCGGAUCGUAAUACUGUGUUAUUAGUGAAAAACAGAUGUGUAAGUUACUGUGCACGUAUUGACGGUACCGGGUCAGAAAGCCACGGCUAACUACGUG
rnacentral:rRNA from 1 species